rnacentral:tRNA from 1 species
GGGCCCAUAGCUCAGUUGGUUAGAGCAGCGGACUCAUAAUCCGUUGGUCCCUGGUUCGAGUCCAGGUGGGCCCACCA